rnacentral:tRNA from 1 species
CCUUUCUAGAGAAAGAGGUUGAAGCAAGCGUUCACAGCUUAUCGGUUGUUUGGAAGUUGAAGGCGGAUGGGUCUGUAGCUCAGCCGGUUAGAGCACCGUCUUGAUAAGGCGGGGGUCGUUGGUUCGAGUCCAACCAGACCCACCAUCAGUUCAGGGGGAUUAGCUCAGCUGGGAGAGCACCUGCUUUGCAAGCAGGGGGUCGUCGGUUCGAUCCCGACAUCCUCCACCAGGAACCUCAGGAAAGCAUGAAGCAUUCAGGCAGAAGUCUGGAUGGUUUGCGUUUUGCCUGAGCGUCUUGAACGCCUGAUCUUUAACAAAACGGAAGAAGAAGUGACAACGAGAUAAAGGUGGCAAUCCUUGGUUGAUUCCAUGGGUUGCCGACUGUAAUCGGGUCAGAUUGUAUCGACGGUAUUCCUGUAAGUCGCAGGGAUAUCGUAUUCGCAAACACUAUGAGUGAUUCCACUUAUAGGA